UUUCCGUAGGUGAACCUGCGGAAGGAUCAUCAUUAGAAUCCGCCUGAACACACCCCUGUGCAAUCAUUUGUGAGCAGGUAGCUGGCUCUUGGGAGGGAAGAAGAAGUCUCUUUUUCGCUUCUGGUUGUCUGCUGCCCGCUCAUCAUUUUUUAUUCACACUUUUUUUAAUUUGACCAACACACAAAACAAACAAACACAACUUUUAACAACGGAUCUCUUGGUUCUC
rnacentral:misc_RNA from 1 species